rnacentral:rRNA from 1 species
CAGUCGCCGCGGGAAUACGUAGGGUGCAAGCGUUAAUCGGAAUUACUGGGCGUAAAGCGUGCGCAGGCGGUUCGCUAAGACAGAUGUGAAAUCCCCGGGCUUAACCUGGGAGCUGCAUUUGUGACUGGCGGGCUAGAGUAUGGCAGAGGGGGGUAGAAUUCCACGUGUAGCAGUGAAAUGCGUAGAGAUGUGGAGGAACACCGAUGGCGAAGGCAGCCCCCUGGGCCAAUACUGACGCUCAUGCACGAAAGCGUGGGGAGCAAACAGGAUUAGAUACCCCCGUAGUCCCUGUCUCUUAUAC